rnacentral:rRNA from 1 species
AUGUCUGUUUCAUGUAAUUCCAAGCUGGAAGUAUCUCUGUCAAAUGUCCAUGUCUGUACUUGGGUAGCCCAUGUGAUGUCUAUCAUUCUCCGCCGAGUUCGAUGCACUAUUCAGGUUCCUGGACCAAUGGGAUAUGCCCACGUGAAGGGCGGCACUGCUUUAUUCGUUGGUCAAGGAUCAAGACCGUGUAGCCACAAAACAAACCAAAAGGCAAUCCACAUAUUCUAUCAACUUUAA